rnacentral:rRNA from 1 species
GACGAACGCUGGCGGCGUGCUUAACACAUGCAAGUCGAACGGAAAGGCCCCUUUGGGGGUACUCGAGUGGCGAACGGGUGAGUAACACGUGAGUAACCUGCCCUUGACUUCGGGACAACUUCAGGAAACUGGGGCUAAUACCGGAUAGGAAUCCUUUCUGCAUGGUUGGGGUUGGAAAGCUUCGGCGGUUUUGUAUGGACUCGCUGCUUAUCACCUUGUUGGUUGGGUAGUGGCUUACCAAGGCUUUGACGGGUAGCCGGCCUGGGAGGGCGACCGGCCACAUUGGGACUGGGGUACGGCCCAGACACCUGCGGGAGGCAGCAGGGGGGAAUCUUGCACAAUGGGCGGAAGCCUGAUGCAGCAACGCCGCGCGCGGGAUGACGGCCUUCGGGUUGUAAACCGCUUGCAGCAGGGGCGAAGCUUGUGGUGACGGUACCUGGAGAAGAAGCACCGGCUAACUACGUG